AUUGAACGCUGGCGGCAUGCCUUACACAUGCAAGUCGAACGGCAGCGGGCCUUCGGGUGCCGGCGAGUGGCGAACGGGUGAGUAAUGCAUCGGAACGUGCCAUUGAGUGGGGGAUAACGUAGCGAAAGUUACGCUAAUACCGCAUAUUCUGUGAGCAGGAAAGCAGGGGACCGCAAGGCCUUGCGCUCUUUGGGCGGCCGAUGUCAGAUUAGCUAGUUGGUGAGGUAAAGGCUUACCAAGGCGACGAUCUGUAGCGGGUCUGAGAGGAUGAUCCGCCACACUGGAACUGAGACACGGUCCAGACUCCUACGGGAGGCAGCAGUGGGGAAUUUUGGACAAUGGGCGCAAGCCUGAUCCAGCCAUGCCGCGUGAGUGAAGAAGG
rnacentral:rRNA from 1 species